rnacentral:lncRNA from 1 species
GAAUACGGUUUCUGAGAAUUUCCACUCUGAAUUCACAUUCCGUUCAGUGUUAUCGCCACCCUGUGGAUUUCUUGGGUAAUGAAACUCAGACCGGGAAAUGAAAACGGGGAUUUUCAGUAAAUCGGUUCCAGUAAAUCUCUGCUGCUCUUGUGGGCGCCCUCUUUUGAGCACCGGAGGAAUGAGCACCGUUCUUCAUUCUUUUGGUUUUGUAAAGUUGUAGAGCUGCGUUCAUAACUACCUCGCUGGCUUUGAGCACAACCCAGGAAGAAGUUUGAAACCAAGAAAAUGGUGGUUGGGAAGACCAGGAUGCGCAAUGGCAAGUAGGCACCCAAUACAUACAAGGGAGUAAAUGAAUGAAUUAAAGCUGUCUGUAUCUGCUGAUCAUCCACAAUUUAGACGUCCUAUACUACAUUCCAAUUGAGGGCAAGCGGGGUACGUGUCCUGAAUUUAUAGAAUCUUUUGACACAAAGCAAGAGAGCCACAGUCAAGACUCAAGUCAAAAGAAAUUUAGACCCCAUCUGGGCAAACAGGCCUCUAAGCAACAAUCUAAGAUUUCCACCUAUUGUUCUGGCAUUCCUUGUAUAAAUGAUUAUGACUGCAGAGAUCUUAGGAAGUGCUGUGGUACCUUUAGAUGUGGCCUGAGGUGCAUACAUCCUCUUAUGAUUGGCCCUGUAUUUUUCAAUUCACCUCCACAAUCCAAGGCAUAAAUAUUGGAUGGAGAAAUGGAUUCAGAUGGAGGCAUCAUUGAGCUUAUUCUUGACUCAUCUCAGUCCAAACAUUACUCUGUCAAUCGUUGUUCUUAAAAUCUGCAUAUUAAA